rnacentral:rRNA from 1 species
CCCUUAGAUGUCCUGGGCUGCACGCGCGCUACACUGAUGUGUCCAGUAAGCACCUAACCUCUUCCGAAAGGAACGGGUAACCUUUGCAAAGCACAUCGUGAUGGGGAUAGAUUAUUGCAAUUAUUAGUCUUGAACGAGGAAUUCCUAGUAAGCACAAGUCAUCAGCUUGUGUUGAUUACGUCCCUGCCCUUUGUACACACCGCCCGUCGCUCCUACCGAUUGAAUGUUCCGGUGAGCUCUUCGGACUGCGCGGUCUGCAGUUUCUGCGUUCCGUGCGGAAAGUUGCGCAAACCUUAACAUUUAGAAGAAGGAGAAGUCGUAACA